AAGGGCGGUGAAGUCAGACCGGAAGGACUGGUGGAGCGCUUAGAAGUGAGAAUGCCGGUAUGAGUAGCGAAAGAAGGGUGAGAAUCCCUUCCACCGAAUAUCUAAGGUUUCCUGAGGAAGGCUCGUCCGCUCAGGGUUAGUCGGGACCUAAGCCGAGGCCGAUAGGCGUAGGCGAUGGACAACAGGUAGAGAUUCCUGUACCAGUGCUAAUUGUUUAACCGAUGGGGUGACACAGAAGGAUAGGGAAUCGCACGAAUGGAAAUGUGCGUCCAAGCAGUGAGUGUGAGAAGUAGGCAAAUCCGCUUCUCGCGAAGCAUGAGCUGUGAUGGGGAAGGAAAUUAAGUACGGAAGUUCCUGAUUUCACGCUGUCAAGAAAAGCCUCUAGGAAGAGUAGUACUGCCCGUACCGCAAACCGACACAGGUAGAUGAGGAGAGAAUCCUAAGGUGAGCGAGAGAACUCUCGUUAAGGAACUCGGCAAAAUGACCCCGUAACUUCGGGAGAAGGGGUGCUCUAUUAGGGUGCAAGCCCGAGAGAGCCGCAGUGAAUAGGCCCAGGCGACUGUUUAGCAAAAACACAGGUCUCUGCAAAACCGUAAGGUGACGUAUAGGG
rnacentral:rRNA from 1 species